AUUCAGAUGACGAGUCCCAAAUAGGACGAAGUGUGCAUUUGGGAU
rnacentral:hammerhead_ribozyme from 1 species